GACGGGUGAGUAACGCGUGGGAACCUUCCCAGUGGUACGGAAUAGCUCAGGGAAACUUGGGGGUAAUACCGUAUAAGCCCGAAAGGGGAAAGAUUUAUCGCCAUUGGAUGGGCCCGCGUCGGAUUAGCUAGUUGGUGAGGUAAUGGCUCACCAAGGCGACGAUCCGUAGCUGGUCUGAGAGGAUGAUCAGCCACACUGGGACUGAGACACGGCCCAGACUCCUACGGGAGGCAGCAGUGGGGAAUAUUGGACAAUGGGCGCAAGCCUGAUCCAGCCAUGCCGCGUGAGUGACGAAGGCCUUAGGGUUGUAAAGCUCUUUUGGCGGGGACGAUAAUGACGGUACCCGCAGAAUAAGCCCCGGCUAACUUCGUGCCAGCAGCCGCGGUAAUACGAAGGGGGGCUAGCGUUGUUCGGAAUCACUGGGCGUAAAGCGCACGUAGGCGGAUUUGUUAGUCAGGGGUGAAAUCCCGGGGCUCAACCUCGGAACUGCCUUUGAUACUGCAAGUCUCGAGUCCGGAAGAGGUGAGUGGAAUUCCUAGU
rnacentral:rRNA from 1 species